rnacentral:rRNA from 1 species
CAAAACGACUCUCGGCAACGGAUAUCUCGGCUCACGCAUCGAUGAAGAACGUAGCAAAAUGCGAUACUUGGUGUGAAUUGCAGAAUCCCGUGAACCAUCGAGUUUUUGAACGCAAGUUGCGCCCGAAGCCAUCCGGUCGAGGGCACGCCUGCCUGGGCGUCACGC